rnacentral:rRNA from 1 species
CGUAGGCGGCGGCGGAAGUCGGGUGUGAAAGCCCGGAGCUCAACUCCGGAAUUGCACUCGAAACUUCGUUGCUGGAGGUCGGAAGAGGAGAGUGGAAUACCCAUGUAGAGGUGAAAUUCGUAGAUAUUGGGUGGAACACCAGUGGCGAAAGCGGCUCUCUGGUCCGAACCUGACGCUGAGGCGCGAAAGCGUGGGGAGCAAACA